rnacentral:tRNA from 1 species
GGGGUUGUGGCUCAUUGGUAGAGUGCUCACCUAGCAUGUGCAAGGCCCUGGGUUCCAUCCUCAGCACCACA